rnacentral:rRNA from 1 species
UACGGGGGGAGCAAGCGUUGUUCGGAUUUACUGGGCGUAAAGGGCGCGUAGGCGGCCAGCACAAGUCAGUUGUGAAAUCUCCGAGCUUAACUCGGAAGGGUCAACUGAUACUGUGCGGCUAGAGUGCGGAAGGGGCAACUGGAAUUCUUGGUGUAGCGGUGAAAUGCGUAGAUAUCAGGAGGAACACCGGUGGCGAAGGCGGGUCUCUGGGCCGUAACUGACGCUGAGGAGCGAAAGCAUGGGGAGCGAACAGG